rnacentral:rRNA from 1 species
UACGUAGGGUGCAAGCGUUAUCCGGAAUUAUUGGGCGUAAAGAGCUCGUAGGCGGUUUGUCACGUCUGCUGUGAAAACUCGGGGCUUAACUCCGGGCCUGCAGUGGGUACGGGCAGACUAGAGUGCGGUAGGGGAGACUGGAAUUCCUGGUGUAGCGGUGAAAUGCGCAGAUAUCAGGAGGAACACCGGUGGCGAAGGCGGGUCUCUGGGCCGUAACUGACGCUGAGGAGCGAAAGCGUGGGGAGCGAACAGG